CUGCAUGAAGUCAUUUAUUGAAAUUACAAUUACCGGUAUAAUUUGCGUUAAACAGUUAGCAAAAUGACUUAACUCUAACUAGAGCAUUUUCUGCAAGAAAUGUAUUUGUUUAUUCCCAAUUAUAUUAUUAUUUAACCGUACAAUUUUUUUGAACACGUAUAUUUAAAUACAGGAAAUGUAUUUUUUCCAAUGAGAAUGACACCAAUUUUUGUCUCGAAAAAUGAUAUACCUCUAUUUGAAAAUUCCCCUAAAGCAUCAAUCAACAAUUAAAUUUAGGAUCAAGGUUUGCAUAACAAGGAGAAACUUUUUUUAGAUGAAUCUAUUUUGAUGCCAGAUAGUAAUCAUCAUUUAAAUAAAUUUAAAUGGCACUCCAAUUUCAGCUGUUAAUGAGAUUUGAAUUCUUUGCUGGCUAUAAUUAACAAGAUUCAGCUAUUCAUUUAUUUAGGGAUUUCCCAUAUUUUCCCGCUAAAUAGCACACUGCUCCCAACAAAUGUAAACACACAAAUUUUGCAUGUGAGCAUGAUAUGUUUGCAGGAUAACUGCAUUUAUUGAUUUGAUUUGGGUAUAGAUAUUGAAUUUAAGGUACAGUAAAGCGUUUGCAUUAACAGAAUAGUUUGCAUACAAUAUUUUUGAUUUAUUUAAACAUGUGCUUCACUGAGCGCAGCUUGAUACGACCACAGAGGUCGAACCCUGAAGAGUUGGCACAAAUUUGGACACAGUAUGCAAGCUUGAUGCUGUCUGAAUUAUUGGAGUUUCUUCUUGAAACUUUUCAAAAAAUUUGAAAUUUGAAAAAUUUUGAAAAAAAAUAUGAUUCCCUAAAAAAAAUUGAAAAUAGAAUCCCCUCACUUUCUUUCACUCCCAGCCUUCCCUUUAAAGUAAAAUUUUAGAGAGAUUCAUACACUUAAACACAAGUUAUUGUCUGGAAACUAGAAAAAUGCUAUUUUUUAGUUCUUAAUACCUGCAUGUUUGUGGCAAUUACCUCCAAACUAAAUCCCAGCAUUCACUUUGUGAUACUGUAUAUUCAGAAAUUAUUGUUAUGUUUUUAUAAUUGCGAAAAAUGAGACAGAGUUAUACAUUGUAAUCGCAAUAGUUUAAACUGGCAUUUUGAAAUUACAGGAUUUUUCUCAACAUCGCAAAAAUUAAAAUCACAAUUUAGUCUUAAAUGACAAAAUCGCAAUAAUUUCUGAACUUACAGAAUAAUGGAACCUUGUGGUACAAUGUCAGAGAGAUCCAUACACUUACACAGUCACACUAGUUAUUGUCUGAAAACUACAACUAGAGGCUCUUGAUAGAGGCUCUCAAGAGCCUGUGUCGCUCACCUGUAUCUACUGUGGUUUUGGAAAUCAUGUAAAUAAGGUUAAAUCAUAAUAAAUAGUAUUAAAUACCCCGAUAAUGAUUGAGACCAAGUUUGGUUUAAUUUGGCCCAGUAGUUAAAUCAAAAGCAGGUCAUCCAAGUUUAGUCUUACAAUAGUUACUGAAGACCCCUUAUCAUUAUUUAAAUUAGUGUUCAAGUUGUGACCAUUUGAAAUUGUUUUUUAAAGGAAAAGUCCAAAAACUUUUUACUAUAAUCAUAUCGGAAACCCUUAAAAUAUAAAUCAUACAUUUUAAUUUUAAAAGUUGCACGACUGAGUAUUUUCCUUUCUGAAUUAUUAGUUGGUUAAUAGCUACACCAAAAGUUGUUGAUGCACUUUAAAUUCCAUUAUUAGUUGAUUAACGAACAAUACUUAAAAUGAGAUUAAUCCACUCCCAGCAUGCAAAAAGACUUAAACUACGUCACAGAAGUCAGGAAGUUCAAAUAAAUAAAAUUAAUAAUUCCCAAUUUUCUUCUUUAUUCGUGUUCAUAUCCCGUUAAAACUUGGUGAAUAUGUUGUUUGGUAUUAUGAACAUAAUAAGAUAAGUAAAAAAUCGUGAAUUUUCCCUUAAACAAUUUUCCCGUUGACUUCCAUAUAUAGUAAACCUCUAUGUUCUAUUUUUAGCCAUGGCAGCUAUGUCGGAUAAGUUUUUCAAUCAAAAUACCUAACUGAAAUUGUGGCUAAGUUUAAUUCUUGUAUGUAUGGUUAAGAGAAAACAGGUUUACAAAUAAAUAAGAUGUUUACUGUAAAUAUACUUUUAUAUGUCAGGGCUGGGCUGAUAGAUGUUACAUGAUGGUAAUUUUUAUACAAGAACGGUAAAAGUGACGCCACAAAAAUUGAAACAUGAUCUGUGUUUUGUGGUAAUUGGCAUUGUGCAUAUAAGAGGGGCGAAAGAUACCAGAGGGACAUUCAAACUCCUAGAUCAAAAAUAAACUGACAACGCCAUGGCUACAAAAGAGAAAGACAAACAGACAAACAAUAGUACACAAAACACAACAUAAGAUUCAUAACAUUUGGUUGAGGCAAACUAAAGUAAGAGAAGGGAUACCAAAAAGUCAACAAUUUUUCCAUUUGUAGAAGGGCAUAACUUUAGAACAGUAAAAGUGACGCCACCAAAAUUCAAACUUGAUCUGUGUUUUUGUGGUAAUAAGCAUUGUGUAUAAAUUUCAUAACAUUUGGUUGAGGCAAACUAAAGUUAGAGAAGGGAAACCAAUUUUGGGACGGACGUACAGACGGACAAGGGUAAAUCCCAAUACCCCCUCCGCUACGGCGGGGGCAUAAAAAUUGAUUUGCACUGAUUUUUCAAACUUGUUCUAGACAUUGCUGACCUUCAAUAUAAAUUCUAUAAAUAUCUUGCAAGAAUAGUACACAGGAGAGCACUUACAAGACUGGAUGGAUGCAGGGUAUUUCUAUGUCCCUUGCAAUGUGUCAAACAGGGGAUGAUAAGUAAUGGAUAAUAGAUGAAUUUCACCAUUCUUGCAUUUUCUAGUACAUUUCCUAUGUCACAAUAAUGUUAAUAUAUAUACAUAUCUUUAUAUCUAGCUCUGAAAAUAACUCUGAUGCUGUAUAAAUAAACUUUUUGUUGCUUUGUUCUUGAAUUACAAAAUGUUGUGGCAACAAUUUCACUAAGAUUUUGUACUAAAAAAUAAAUGUAUUUUAAGAGAUUCCACCUCUAUAUUCAUUACUAUGAA
rnacentral:lncRNA from 1 species